GCGAGUCAGUCUCGUCAUUAUUAAGUUAAUUAAGAAAUAUUGUUUGUUACAAUUUUCUGCACACUUUUUGGUACGGAAACUUUUAUUUAAUUUAUACGCUUUCUCGUUCAACAGUUUCUUCGAAUUGUCAUAACGUUUUCUUUUCAAUUCAAACACAAACAGAAUUUUAAUAAAAAUAACAAAUUAUUUAUUAAAACCAUGCCUAACUACAGAAGAGCGUCAUGCGAUAUCAUUUGGGUAAUGUCAAGUAAGUAAUAAAGAUCGGUUGUCCAAUCAUUGUCUUCUCCAUUCUCGCUAAAACUAAUGAAGACGGUCAGAAGGGGGUAUUCGGGGGAAGAAGAAUCUUCGGUAGAAGCUGUGUAUAAGCUGCAAUUCAGGAGGUGUCACAUAACUAGACUUAAUCUCUUUUCAUUGCUCUGCAGAUCUAUGUGCUGUUUGUUCCGCCAGAACCGACUAGGAAGUCUAUUAUCUCUGUCCAGAACCAACUUCCUAAAGAGAUUGUUCGUUCGACAUUUUGUUCUUCUUCAAUUCUUUCUAGCUUUCUUUACCGAAAAAGUUUUCCCUUUUUUUAUAAUCUUUCUUCCUGACACAGAAUGAGAAUUGAUUCUCUUAUCUCCUUCGACAAUCUGACAUUGCUCUAAUAAAAGCAGUUUAGAAAAUAAUUUGCCACGUUUUCAAAAAGUAAAAAAAAAGAAAUUUUUGAUCUUUUGUAUAUCGAAACGACAUUUGCAAGUGGU
rnacentral:lncRNA from 1 species